UCUCUGGUGGCUCAGAUGGUAAAGCAUCUGCCUGCAGUGCAGGAGACUCGGGUUCGAUCCCUGUAUCAGGAA
rnacentral:tRNA from 1 species